UCAACCGACUGAGUUGAUCAACCAGUGGAUUCACUGUCACAGACACCCUGUAGGCAGAGGGUGUCCCAAUGCACUCAGAACCCUCCCCACUGCCCUCUGCAUGAUAGCGUCUGCUCCAUCAAGAGGAAGACAUGUCCCAGUGUCCCUGCAGCCAUGGGUGGUCAUGUGGCAGAACUCUGGGACACUAGAAUAUGGAGAAAGUGUGAAUCUGGCCUCGAACAUCCCUGGUGAGGACCUCCACGCCCACUGCCUCCCCUCCCAGCCAGAUGCAAAGGAUCCAGGGAGUACCCAGGACCCCUGAAAGAUGGUAGGGCCACUGGGGAGAAGCCUGGUUCCCUAAUCACCACAGAGAAGGCCAACCUGCCAACACUCGGUUGGAUCAUGAUUUGUAGGAAAUAAAGUUUUAACUGAGUCCA